rnacentral:rRNA from 1 species
CCUACGGGAGGCAGCAGUGAGGAAUAUUGGUCAAUGGACGAGAGUCUGAACCAGCCAAGUAGCGUGCAGGAUGACUGCCCUAUGGGUUGUAAACUUCUUUUAUAAAGGAAUAAAACGAGGCACGUGUGCCUUUUUGCAUGUACUUUAUGAAUAAGGAUCGGCUAACUCCGUGCCAGCAGCCGCGGUAAUACGGAGGAUCCGAGCGUUAUCCGGAUUUAUUGGGUUUAAAGGGAGCGUAGAUGGGUUGUUAAGUCAGUUGUGAAAGUUUGCGGCUCAACCGUAAAAUUGCAAUUGAUACUGGCAGUCUUGAGUACAGUUGAGGUAAGCGGAAUUCGUGGUGUAGCGGUGAAAGGCUUAGAUAUCACGAAGAACCCCGAUUGCGAAGGCAGCUUACUAAACUGUGACUGACAUUGAUGCUCGAAAGUGUGGGUGUCAAACAGGAUUAGAUACCCGAGUAGUC